UGUAUACAGUUUCCUCGAGGUCACCAUUAAGGAACACCGUUUUGACAUCCAGGUGCUCAAUGGACAGGACAUGUUCAGCUGCUAAAGCAAGUAAAAUCCUAAUUGUGGAGUACCUUACCACUGGUGAAAAAGUCUCUUGGUAAUCAAUACCGUACUUCUGUGUGUAACCCUUGGCAACUAAACGAGCUUUAUAUUUUAGUAACUCUCCAUCUGCUCCAUAUUUUCUUUU